rnacentral:lncRNA from 1 species
CCCCACCCCCUAGAAAGGUUCCCAGGUCCGUAAAAAUAACAAAGUCGGUUAUUAUACUCAUCCAAGCAGGCUGGAAGAAAACUCUCUGAAAGGCAUGAUCCAGCCAAAAGUUGUCAAUCAAAAUGGAUAUAAAAGAGGCAAAAAUAAAGUGGACAGUCAUUCACUGGGACUGUCUUUCAUAGCAUCAAUUAAAAUAUUGAUAUAAUUUCUGAAGAACUUCCUGUUUUGAACAUAGAGGAAUUAAGCUACAAAAGACCCAAAGAAAGGCCCUCUAAUAUUACCAGGCAUUUACAACAGGAUUUCAGUCCAGUUUAGAUGAAGAAUUGCCAGCACUUAGGAGGACAGAAUCAUACACAUACUAACUUCAAAGUCAGAAUGUCAUGACAGAUGAAGGCCUUUGCAGAGGCUCUGAACACAGACGAUGACACAGUGAAAUGAAGGUGCCCCCCGCCCCCCACCCCAGUGUUCUGUAUGGUACUUACGGCAGCUGAGGCCCAGAGAAGGGAAUGACUUGCCGAGGGAGGACACAUGAAGUCGUAAACUACAAGUGCAACGGUCUGGGCGAGUCCAGAGCCUGCUUUAGGUUGAACAAGAACAUCAACUCUGGAGCUACUGAGAAAAGCAUCUUAAACUGUGUGAAAGCCUUUACAGCAACACAGAGAAAUGAUUGUCGUCACCCGACGUCUCCUCAGUCCUUCCUGCAUUAAAAAAAUAAAAGAAAAGAAGGACUUAAAAGUUUCAUUCAUUUAUUUAAUUUGAUGCUAAAAUCCCUGAAAAACAUCACUCAUUGCAUCAGCUAUUCCUUGGGGCACGGUAUCAGACCCUCAAUUCUCAUAAAGGCACCUAUAGGUCAGAAGUAUCUACAGAGGAAGGAGGCCAGAGAGCAGGGUCAGGACACAAAACAAGCAAAGAUGUUUUCUAAAAGAGCGUGUGGUUUGCUGGUGCCAACAGGACAGCUUUUUGAGUGAAUUCGGUGGAAACUAAAUCUUCCACAACACCAGGGAGAGGGGAGCAGCUAUGGGCUAUGAAUAUCAAUUAAAUUCUCUCCACAUCAAUCGUAUAAAACUCAUCAAGGAUCGGAGACGAUGGCAGCAAUCAGAACAAUGCCGCCCCCGACAGAAAGGUGAACUCUAAGACUAUCAGUUGUCGUCUUCCCUCGCCUGAGCAGCGAGGACAGGAAACACUGAGUAGAGGCUCACUAACCACGCAAGAGCAGGAGCUGUGAGGAAGGAGGAAGGGAGAGGAGAGCCCAACAACCCCAGCUGGCUUGGGCAUUUCGAAUGGCUAGGCAGUACUGUCUAUCUCAGAAGCCCCGGAGGUCCACAGAGACAGGAGAGAGAGAAAAAGAAAUGGUAUAAUAUUCUGAUUUGUGUAAAUAGCUCCUGCCAAUAAACGGCUCAUUUUUCAAAAGUUUUACUGCUUAAUAAGGCAAGAUGAUGAAAACUUUCAUUCCUCAGGAGUGCCAGAUGCACAGCCUCACUGCGCUGAGAAAAAGGCCCUGCCAAGGGUGCUGCUAGGAGUAAGGCCACGGCUUUUUACAUACAGCCUACUGCACCGCAGAGAUGCGAUUGCUUGGUUACUAGAAGGGAAAACUAGAAAGGCCUGGGCAGGAGUCUCACAGCCUUUUCUCUAUGUCAUGCAAAGGAGGAUUUAAAGGGCUAGUUACAGAUGGCUCCAUGUAACGAGUCCCUUCCAGGCCCCCACCUGGGAGAGUUGUUCCUGCUCCACUCAUGACAGUGACCUAACUUAUACUUUACUAACUGACCAUUAAAGAAAACAGUGAUGAAGACCGGAUGAAGACAGGAACUACCAAAAACAUCUCUGGCCAGCUCCAAACAAGCUCCUUCCAAGGGGGUCUCAGCUCAUUAAAAAUUUUUAAAAAUCUGAAGAGUGACAAUUAGCCAGUUACAAGCAAGGCCAGGAGCAAACACAUUUGGCCACCACAGAUACUUCACAAGCAUUCCAGGAAGCUUCCCUUCUCCAGACUGUAAAACCUCUGAGUUACUUCGCCUUCAAAGCUGCUAAUAUAAACCACACCAUUCCCCACAAAACUGGAUUUCUAACUUUGAAAUACACACAGUUAAGCAUGGUUGUUGCUGGAUUCUGCAGGUGUGCGCCUCGGCCGGCUCACCCUGUCUGUGAACUUAUACUGUGAACAGGAGCAAUGGGUUCAGGCAGUAUAAAAAGACUGUCUAUGGAAAAGCAAGUUCCCGGCAGUGGCUUAGCAUCUAUCUGUACAGCAGGGGCGGUAAAGGACAACGAUUAAGGUAGACUCUAUCCCAGAAAAGAAUCUACUUCCAAGCAAAUAAAGGCAAUACCAUUACAGAUUCUCUUUAAUCAUGCAAAGAAAGGCACAAGACAAAAGUAGAAUGGUUUCAAACUGGGUGCCCACUGAAAUUUAAUCUUGGGAGACUUUUGAGCUAUGACUUAGAAAAAAAACCCACCCAGAACCAUACCCACAUCAUAAUCAGUCUCUAAGAACUAGGGAAACUAUUUUAUCCCAAAAUUUUUCAACUCAGGGAAGUUUUUAAAAGUCUUAUUCAAAGAUAGCGAAGUGAAAGGAAAAAAGACUAGGACAGGCAAAUUACAAAUUUCAUCAAUAACCAGAAAUCAUUUCUAUGGCUCUUAGUAAGAAAACCAAGACAAGUGGCUUGGCUCUGAAGAGAUACUUCCCAGCAAAUAUUUCCCACCUACUUUCUGAAGAUGAUUAAAUAUGGGAAAGGUUCCAUAAGGUACAACAGGAAGCAUCAAGUUACAGCACUGCCUGGUCAGAUGAGCUGGGUCUUAAAAACCCGUUACACUACAGCUUACUCUCUCUUCUCACUCCUGUUCCCCGGCCAUCGUGAAACGGAUCUGAAGACAAGCAUUUCUAGAGAAGGUAUCUUUUUAUAAUUCUGUCAAUACAACAUUUAAAAAAAAAAAAUCACCAAACUUCUACAGAUAAGAUUAGGCCCGAGACAAAGCAUCCCUAAGUACAGAAGACAAGACACAGAGGCAGCUUUUACAACGCACGCUGUGUGCGCUGGGCUGAGAUGGACCCCAGUCACUGCAGCACUCUGGUUUCUCAGAGCCUCUGGAACCUUCCGCAGCAGGCUGCAGGACGUGGUCAUUUCUGUUGGCACAAAGAGAACUGCUAUGCACGGGGUUUCCAGAGCUCAAAUGCCUACUGCAAUUUAAAACUCACAGAAAACUCUCAGGGUAAAAACAUCUCCAUGGUCUUGAUUUUAUUCACACUAUUUAUCCAA